AUAGAACAAAAUCGCAUGGAAUUGUGCUACCGUGGGCUCCCCAAGUUGAAAUCUUAGCACAUACUGCUAUCGGGGUUUUUAUAACACACUGUGGUUGGAACUCGGUGCUGGAGAGUAUCGUAGGAGGGGUGCCUAUGAUUUGCAGGCCAUUCUUUGGCGAUCAAAAGCUCAAUGGAAGGAUGGUAGAGGAUGUCUGGAAUAUUGGCCUCAGAGUGGAGGG
rnacentral:misc_RNA from 1 species